UCACCUAGCAACACGGUGCGGAGACUGGAUCAGGCCGAGAAGCAGGGUGUAGCCAGCCGUGAGGGGAGAAUGCUGCAGAGGUUCAACAUCUUCAGCCUCCACAUACAAGUGAGACUGCGCAGCGUCCGUCUUUCUGUGCCUGGCUUACUGCAUGGAACACGAUGUCUUCCAAGUUCAAGAUCUGUCGGACAACAUGGUGACUUAGUGGAUAACUGUGAUGGUUAAUAUCAAGUGUCAACUUGAUUAGAUUGAAUAAUGCAAAGUAUUGAUCCUGGGUGUGUCUGUGAGGGAGCUGCCAAAUGAGAUUAACAUUUGAGUCAGUGGACUGGGAGAGGCAGACCCACCUUUAAUUCGGGUGGGCACCUUCUAAUCAGCUGCCAGCAUGGCUAGAAUAAAGCAGACAGGAGAAGGCGGAAUGAGCCGACUUGAGAGUCUCCAGCCUGCAUCUUUCUCCCGUGCUGGAUGCUUCCUGCUGUAGAGUAUCAGACUCCAAGUUCUUCGGCUUUUGGACCCUUGAAUUUACAUCAGUGGUUUACCAGGGGCUCUCGGGUCUUUGGCCACAGACUCUUGGCUGCACUUUCGGCUUCCCUAGUGCAGGGAAGGUUUCAGGACUUGGACUGAUCCAUCACUGGCCUCCUUGCUCCUCAACUUGCAGACAGACUAUUGUGGGACUUCACCUUGUGAUCGCAUAUGUAAGGCAAAGACAAUUAAAACACCUCCCAGGAGGAGCCAAAGGAUGUUGUUCAUGAAAUCGUUCUCAAGAUGACCUCUCAGCCAUAGGUGAAACCCAGCAUGCACACCCCACGAACUGUAAUACCAACACGAAGUGAUGACCUCUCAGCCACAGGUGAAACCCAGUAUGCACACCCCAUGAACUCUAAUACCAACAGGAAGUGAUGACCUCUCAGCCACAGGUGAAACCCAGCAUGCACACCCCACGAACUCUAAUACCAACAGGAAGUGAUGACCUCUCAGCCACAGGUGAAAUCCAGCAUGCGCACCCCACGAACUGUAAUACCAACAGGAAGUGAUGACCUCUCAGCCACAGGUGAAACCCAGCAUGUACAUUCCAUGAACUCUAAUACCAAGAGGAAGUGAUGACCUCUCAGCCACAGGCGAAACCCAGCAUGCACACCCCAUGAACUCUAAUACCAACAAGAAGUGAUGACCUCUCAGCCACAGGUGGAACUCAGCAUGCACACCCCACGAACACUAAUACCAACAGGAAGUGAUGACCUCCCAGCCAUAGGUGAAGCCCAGCAUGUACAUUCCACAAACACUAAUACCAACAGGAAGUGAUGACCUCUCAGCCACAGGUGAAACCCAGUAUGCACACCCCAUGAACUCUAAUACCAACAGGAAGUAUGUUCUGAGUUCCCUUCUUCCAUGGUUGUUUAAGCACAGACUCAUAUACCAAUAAAUCAUUUCCUUAAAGUC